GUUAAAUGAAAGAGGUCAAUGAUCAGGCCUAUCAUACAAGGGCUGCAUAUAGAUUGCUGCAGAGCGAAGCCAAGGGCUAAACAGGAGACUAGGCCCAGGAAAGUACGUAGUUGAGCUAGGCUGCGUGGAGGGUUAAUUUGUUCAAUAGCAUUUUUCCUGUCUUCUGUGAGAUGCUUUGUACCAUGAGAAAUAUAAUGUCCUAGAAAAGUAAAGGUGGG